AGGCAGCUCCGCAUGGUCUGUAUCUCCUCGUCACUACAAACCAUGUAGUGCUGCUACA
rnacentral:pre_miRNA from 1 species